rnacentral:rRNA from 1 species
GGCAGACGGGUGAGUAACGCGUGGGAAUCUACCGAGCCCUACGGAAUAACGCAUGGAAACGUGUGCUAAUACCGUAUACGCCCUACGGGGGAAAGAUUUAUCGGGGUUUGAUGAGCCCGCGUUGGAUUAGCUAGUUGGUGGGGUAAAGGCCUACCAAGGCGACGAUCCAUAGCUGGUCUGAGAGGAUGAUCAGCCACAUUGGGACCGAGACACGGCCCAAACUCCUACGGGAGGCAGCAGUGGGGAAUAUUGGACAAUGGGCGCAAGCCUGAUCCAGCCAUGCCGCGUGAGUGAUGAAGGUCUUAGGAUUGUAAAGCUCUUUCACCGGAGAAGAUAAUGACGGUAUCCGGAGAAGAAGCCCCGGCUAACUUCGUGCCAGCAGCCGCGGUAAUACGAAGGGGGCUAGCGUUGUUCGGAAUUACUGGGCGUAAAGCGCACGUAGGCGGAUAUUUAAGUCAGGGGUGAAAUCCCAGAGCUCAACUCUGGAACUGCCUUUGAUACUGGGUAUCUAGAGUAUGGAAGAGGUGAGUGGAAUUCCGAGUGUAGAGGUGAAAUUCGUAGAUAUUCGGA